rnacentral:lncRNA from 1 species
CGAGAUUAUAUAUAAAAAAUUCCGAAAGGCAAAGGGUAGGUGAUGGAGUCAGUUUGCCCAUUUCUUCGCCACCCUUCGCUUGUUACUUUGGGUUCUCUGAUACGAAGAUAAAGAGAUGAUUUGAAGUGAUAUUUGAUUUGACAGUGUUGUUGGGGUUGCCGUUGAACCCUUCUUUUUUUAACUUUCACCACCGACUACGAUCAAUCUUUCACUUCUUAUUCAAACUCCAAUUCCAUUUCCUCCACAAUGUAACUCGACUCCUUUCCUCAUAUUUCAAAUCAUGAAACAGUACUCAGCUUAGAAUGGUGUAAUGUGUUGUUGCUUUUGCUCAUGUUUCUUAUUCUUUCAUUAAAAUAUUGAAGCACUGUCAAAUCACCAUUCCUUCGCUGCUCAACUCCUUCCAAACUCAAGUUCUAACGUAUCACCUAGUCGGAAAAGAAGUUUUAUAAUUUUUAAGGUUGAAAGUUGAAACUAUUCUAUGCUCAUGUUUCUUAUUCUUUCAUUAAAAUAUUGAAGCACUGUCAAAUCACCAUUCCUUCGCUGCUCAACUCCUUCCAAACUCAAGUUCUAACGUAUCACCUAGUCGGAAAAGAAGUUUUAUAAUUUUUAAGGUUGAAAGUUGAAACUAUUCUAUGCUCAUGUUUCUUAUUCUUUCAUUAAAAUAUUGAAGCACUGUCAAAUCACCAUUCCUUCGCUGCUCAACUCCUUCCAAACUCAAGUUCUAACGUAUCAACUGGUCGGAAAAGAAGUUCUAUAAUUUUUAAGGUUGAAAGUUGAAACUAUAGUAUCGGAAUGGUCACUAACUCCAAGAAUAUGGGCCAAAAAGUGGACACAUAGAAGCAUCAUACAUGUCCCCAUUCAUGAAGAAUACUUUGGGUUUUACUUGUUUGUUUUUUUGUACGUUCUUCAUCUUGACCAUGUCAAGGAUUCAAGAACACUUUUUUGUAAAAGGCCUAGCUUUACUUGGUAACCUGGCCCAUUUAGUUUUUGCAUUCAGUCAUGAAACGGGCUUUGUUGUGGUUUGGGCAUAUUGAAAAACGGGCCUGCGCUCCAGCUUUAGUCACUUGACGAUAAAAUGUUGGUAUAAGUAUAAUUAUAAUAAAGUUCAACUUGC